rnacentral:snRNA from 1 species
GGAUAUAAAAAUGAUCUGGCUGUCAUCCAUUGACUGCAGGAUUGAUUCAGCAGAUGUGGCCCUCUAGGCAGCUGUCUCCUUCCUCCUUCACCAUUCCAUGUGAACCCCUCCUGGUAGAAGACGAUGACCUCACUGAAAUGGAGGAGGAUGGGUCUUUGGUCAAGGACAUACAAGUCACUGCACACCCCUGCUAGCACCUCCAAGCAAACUCUCAUCAAAGCAAGCUGGGCAAGCCAGGAAGAGCAAGCCAGUAAACAGCUCCUUCAUGAUCUCUGCUUCA